GUAAAAUACUGUGUCUACCUACAUAUCAUGUACCAGGAAGAGUAAAUCUAAUCAAGUGGAUUGAGGCAACUUCUCAAGGAAAGUAAGAACAGAUGGCAAGACAACUGAUGUUGUUUGUACAUGGAUCAACAGGAGACAUAGAAGAAGCUGACACGCCAAUGUAUUUUUGACAAACGUUUGAUAGCUUCAAAACAUGACUGUGUUGUCUAUCAGCAACUAAAAUAUGUG